AAGGUCUCUUUCCAAUAAUAAAUAACAGUCUUUUAAGACCCCGAUCCAAAUUCGACGAUGCGUGAAUUAAAUUAAAAAAAAAAAAGAGGGGUCAUCCAAGUAACUCAGUCCCUAAAUGGCAUCCAAAAUUUCUCAAGUUCUAUCGGUUACCUGGAAGGCAGCGGGGCCUAAUUGCUCCGGCGAGGCCAACACCAAGGGCAGUGAAGCAACCUUCAGAUAUUGAUGACUUAGAAAGGCGAAGGAUCAGAUACCAAUAAUAUUCUUUCACAAGAAUGACCCUUCACCUUCGAUGCAAGGAAGAGAUCCUGCAAAGGUAAUUUAAAAAGCAGUAAGUAAAGCACUUGUCUUUUAGCAUCCUUUUGAUGUAUAUACACGCAAAAGCAGUUAUUCUUGAUCGAACUGAAACUGAUCAGCUUUUUGUAAAACAUAAUCCAAACCGAUUGUCAAUUCGGUUAAGUUUUUCCGGUUUUAAAUCGUAAAUUUCUUUUUAUUUUAUAUUUUUAAAUUUUUUUUAUAUAAACUGAUUUCUUUAAUUUUUUAAACUGAACUGAGUAGAACGAAACCGUCAAUUCGGUUCGGUUUUUAUGGGAGUAACAAUUUCUUUACCCACCCCUAAGUGUAAUCAAAAGCAAGUAGUUGAGUGAGGCAAAUUUUUGCUUCGGCUAAGGAUUAAUAUGGUAAAUAUACUCAUUCAAGUAGUCAAGCUUACAGUAAAGAUAAAUAGAUAAAGAUUAAUGGCCGUAGUUUAAUUAUGUAAAUACAAUAUACAUAUGCCAUAAAUUAUUAUGAAAUGUGAUAAAAGUUUAAUUAUUUUAAAACGAGAUGAAUAUGUAUAAUUAAACUACAGCUGUUAAUUCGUUGUCUACUUAUUUUCGCGGUUAGUUUGGCUACCUUGAUUUUCUUAAAAAUAAUUAAAAAAAAAAGUUAUUACUGGUUGAUUUAUUAUUAAGAAAAUGAUAUUCUCACUUUUUACAAAGUGAGAACAACACUGAGCACCAAAUACUGUGUUUUGUGCUCAAUAUAAAAACUCACUGUUGUUCUCAAAAUACAACACUCUCAAUCUAUCUCUUGUCUCGCUCCCUCACUCUCUCUUUCUCGUGUUGCCCAAUUUUCUAAAUUUUCCGCAACUCUAGAUCUUCAACUAUAGUGGCUUUUUCCAUAUUCUUUAUUUCUACAAAAUAAAUAUAAUUCAUAUUAAUAAACUGAAAACAACUAAAGAUUGCUAAAGUGAGCCACAUACAAGUAUGCUAUAAUUUAAAAAAGAAAAAAUAUCAUUUAUUGCAAAUUCUUAUAUGGAUUUCGAAAAUGUCCGAUUGCUUGUUUCCUCUAUAAAUUUCUAAUCCGAAUUGAGAAUCAAUUCGGUUAAUCCUUUUCUGGUUUUAACUCGUAAAUUUCUUUGUAUUUUGUGAUUUUUUAUUUUUAUAUAAACUAGUUUUUUUAUUUUAUUUUUAAACUCAUUGCAAUAAACUUUCAAUUCGGUUUGAUUUUUUUUGGAGCAACGAUUUUUUAACCCACCCCCAUUUGUAAUCAAAAGCAACUAGUUGAGUGAGGCAAGUUUUUGCUUCAGCCUUAAGAAUUAAUAUGGGAAAUAUACUCGUUCAAGUAGUCAAGCCUAUAAUAAGGAUAAAUAGAUAACGGAUCAACGGUUAUAAUUUAAUUAUACGAAUGUGGUGUGCAUAUCUAUCAUAAAUUAUCAUAAAAUAUGGUAAAUCUCAAUUCUCUUGAAACAUGAUAAAUAUGUGCAAUUAAAUUAUAGCUGUUAAUUCGUUGUUCAUUUUUUUUUAUUGUCAGCUUGCCUACCUUGAUUUUCCUAAAAAUUGGGAAAAAAAAAACUUAUUGUUUGUGUCAAAGGAUUGCCUUAUUAUUAUUCUAUUUUUUUGGCAAAACUACAAUUAUGCUAAAAUUGUACACAUCAUAAAUAAAAUUAUAAGUAGUUGAAAAAAAAUUUUAAAAAAAGGGAAGAUAGAGUAGCAUCUAUGAAAGUAGUUGAAUUCUUGCAAGGUGUGGAUGUAAGCAAGUAGUAAGUUUGAAUUUUCUGUCAUUGGUAAAUAUUGGUUUUGAUUUUGGGAAAUAUUUUAAUUAUUGGGUUAGUUUUGAUGCAGAAGUAAAUUUGACGUUUGUGAAGUCAAUCGUGAUAUUAUUUUUGACUAAUAAUGGUAACGAAAAAAUAGCAAAUUGUUAUCUUUUUAUAGUUAAUAUAAUAAAAUGUUAUAAUUUGAUAAUUCUUGUAGUAAGAUAGUAACCCAUUACAGAAAAUCAAGCUAAAGGUCUUGUUCAUAGUAAACAUUCCAUAAGUUCUUUCGGUAGAAAUAAGAAUCUCUUUUAAUGAGAAUAUCUCUUUCGUUCAAUAAUUUAAACGAGAAUCUAAUUUCUUCUAUAUUUAUCAUAAUUUUUUUUUAACCAAUGAAAGAAAAGUCUUUUUCUUGCCAUGAAUUUCCUGUCAAAAAUAAUCCUUUAGUUUUAUGUUGUUAUGCAAUAGUAUGAGAAGAUUCUUUUUUAUUAAGUCGAUGCUUUAGGCCUUUAAUAAAUGCAUUAAAGAUGCUACUUAAAAACAAUUGGUUAUUGCUAGAGAUCUGAUCAGUGUGUGUGCGCGGGCGGUUGUGUAUAUACGCGCACGCGUGUGCGCGGGUGGGUGGGUGCGCGUAUGGGUGUGUGUGAGUGGUUUUUCAAUCCAGAAAGUAUCCAAAAUAAGAUGAUGUCCACCAAUUAGUAUGCAAUAACUUAAAAAAAAAGGGGGGGGGGGGGAGGGGGGAGGAAUUUUUAAAGAGUGGGACUAUUGGCACCCCUCUAAAUACCUCUUAAUACCCUUUUAAUUAUUUUAAAAUUUUAACCUUUAUUAAAAUUACAUAAUAAGACAAUUUCGAAUUAAACCCCCACUCAAAAUCAAAUAAUUUUUUCCCCUUAAAAAUUCCUUAUUACUAUUAGAUUUGUUAAUAGAAUCAUUGAUAUUAUCAAUUUAUCAUUGACAUAAAAUCAUUCAUUCCUCUUAGAUUUGUUCCAUUAUCAUGCUCUUCACAUAAAAUCAUUGCUAUUAUAUUUGUUAAUAGAAGUCAUUUCAUAGAGGCAUGUAAAACUUUGGAAAUUCAAAUUAUGCUACAAUAUCUUUAUUAUUGGACUAAUUUUUCUAUGGCUUUUUUCUACAGGUGUUCAUGCUUCCAGCUUCACCUAUUCCUCCUAUUGCGAAUGGUUGGAUCAAGUAUCAUGAACCAUGUGCAGAAGGCUGGGCAACACCAUACGAAACUAAUAUAAGUGCUUUUAAGGAUUUGGUGUUUGAAGUUACCACACAAGAAAUAAUUGAUAUAGCUAGUCAAUGACAAUAUUAGACAAUUUGAUACUAAUAAAUUAAACAAGGGAUCAAAAAUUAAGUUUUAUCCACAAUUAAGGGAUCAAAAAUUAAACAAUGGGGUUUAUACUAAUAAAUUUAAAUUAAGGGUAUUUUUGUCAUUAAAGGGGUGUUAAAAGAAUUUUAUAAUAUUUUUAAAUAUUUUAAUGGGGUUAAUAAAGAAAAGAGGUGUUGAGAGAUAUUUAAAGGGGUGCCAAUAGUCCUACUCAUUUUUAAAUACCUCAUUCGGGCUGUUAGAUUCCCAGGCCCCUUUAUUGACUGCAUAUGAUGGAGUCUACCAUACAUAGACAAAUGUUGGCCUUUAAAUUUUUAAUCCAAAACUUUUAAUCCAGAACUCUCGGAUUGAAAAAGCACCUAUAUAUAUAUAUACAGUAAUAAAAAUUAGGUCGAGCUAUUAGGGGCUUCUCUUUCCUUACCAUAAAAUGUAGAAUAUGGUAAAUUUCUCUCUAUUUGUUAGUGGAGCAGAUUUUCAAAUUAUGUUGAAUAGAUGGUAGAAUUACAUAUAUUACAUAUUAUUCUCAAUAGAUCUCAAAUUAUAAUAUGUUAGCUAGCAUGUUGUAUUACUCCUAAAUAAAAAAAAUAAAAAAUUGAGAUGCAUCCCAACCUUACUUUUUCCAUUUGUUGAUUUGUUAUAUGUUGCUUAAUUUGUCACAAAAAGAAAAUGACAGAAAGAUUUAAUUUAUAACGGCACGUGCUUGAGGAACAAAGCACCAAUCAAUUGUCAAUCCCAUGAAAGAGUAUAUUUGUCGGCUAUUGCACUCUAAAGAUUUUGCAGCUACACCCAAAGCUUAAUUGUAAUCAUUAUUACAUUUAUAAUUCUACUCCACUGUUUUCUAUUGUUUAAUGCAAAAGUUUUGAUUGCCUCUUCUAAUUCACUUGGGAUUUUGUUCGCUCCUAAACAAAAUUUUAGUUGGAUGCAAAUGGGUUAAAUGAAUUUUAAAAUUUUUCAGAUUUUCGCCUUCAUUGCUACAAACCAAGAUUAGCAUCCGUUUCAUCGAUGCUGGUAUUGUCAUCACAAAUACUUCCAGUCAUUUGGUUCAAUAGCGUUUCGUUUAUGCUAAACUUUCUCAUGCUUGUAGAUUGCAAAAAUCUAUUCAAGUUUGAAGAGCUACGUACAAAUUAGGGAUGGCAAACAGCGGGCCUGGGCUGGACCCGAGCGGGCUUGGGCCGGUCCGGACUUUUUUACCACCCCUAGGCUUAAUCCAUUUGCCUUAUGGAAAGGACAAGUGCAAUAAUUGCCUUUGCAUCUAUGGGAUUCUACUCUCUCUGCGCUGCUUGUACAAAAAGUCCACUAUUCGCCCUGAUUGUGGGAACAUAUGUCAAUAAUGCUAUCUUAUUUGACUUGAAUUUUUAAUAAUGUGUACAUAUUAGUUAAUUUUAUUAUUAGGCCACUGCUAAGUUACGUUUAAAGUAACUUAGCACACACACAACAAUAGUAGCAGGCUCUACUAAUGGUACUGUUGCUGUGUGUGGGUGUAUGUUACGUUAAUCGUAACAUAAGGAGAUCCUUAUUAUUAAUUAUUAACUUUUAUUUUUAUAAUCUAUAAAAUUGUUAUAGAUAAAUGUUGUAUCAAUAAGUAUUUUAAUUAAAAAUUUAAAGUAAGUAUAGUGUUACUCAAACACAUAUAGA
rnacentral:lncRNA from 1 species